GGUUUCAUGGUCUAACGGUCAUGACUCCAGAUUCUGAUUCUGGCAGCGAGGGUUCGACUCCCUCUGAGACCU
rfam:Stachybotrys chlorohalonata IBT 40285 unplaced genomic scaffold scaffold271, whole genome shotgun sequence.